rnacentral:rRNA from 1 species
AGUCGAGCGGCAGCGGGAAUUAGCUUGCUACUUUUGCCGGCGAGCGGCGGACGGGUGAUUAAUGCCUGGGGAUCUGCCCAGUCGAGGGGGAUAACAGUUGGAAACGACUGCUAAUACCGCAUACGCCCUACGGGGGAAAGGAGGGGACCUUCGGGCCUUUCUCGAUUGGAUGAACCCAGGUGGGAUUAGCUAGUUGGUGGGGUAAUGGCUCACCAAGGCGACGAUCCCUAGCUGGUCUGAGAGGAUGAUCGCCACACUGGAACUGAGACACGGUCCAGACUCCUACGGGAGGCAGCAGUGGGGAAUAUUGCACAAUGGGGGAAACCCUGAUGCAGCCAUGCCGCGUGUGUGAAGAAGGCCUUCGGGUUGUAAAGCACUUUCAACGAGGAGGAAAGGUUGGCAGCUAAUAUCUGUCAGCUGUGACGUUACUCGCACAAAAACCACCGGCUAACUCCGUGCCAUCAGCCGCGGUAAUACGGAGGGUGCAAUCGUUGAUCUGAAUUACUGGGCGUAAAGCGCACGCAGGCGGUUGGAUAAUUUAGAUGUGAAAGCCCCGGGCUCAACCUGGUAAUUGCAUUUAUGACUGUUCAACUAGAGUCUUGUAUAGGGGGGUAGAAUUCCAGGUGUAGCGAUGAAAUGCGUAGAGAUCUGUACGAAUACCGGUGGCUAAGGCUGCCCCCUGGACAAAGACUGACACUCAGGUGCGAAAGCGUGAUGAGCUAACCUGAUUAGAUACCCUGGUAGUCCACGCCAUACCGAUGUCGAUUUGCAGGCUGUGUCCUUGAGACGUGGCUUCCGGAGCUAACGCGUUAAAUCAACCGCCUGGAAGUACGGCCGCAAGGUUAAAACUCAGAUGACUUGACCGGGGCCCGCACAAGCUGAGGAGCAUGUGGUUUAAUUCGAUGUAACGCGAAUAACCUUACCUGGCCUUGACAUGUCUGGAAUCCUGUAUAGAUAC